AAGGGAGACCUAAUUCAGGUAGGAGACGAAAAAAAAGUAGUCCCAACCAAGAAUCAAUCCCAAAAGGUCGGAGCGAGGCGAAAUUGGCUUUCAAACUAGGUUCUGGGUUCACACAAGACCUGAAUUAGGAACAAGGGCUAUUAGCUCAGGUGGUUAGAGCGCACCCCUGAUAAGGGUGAGGUCCCUGGUUCGAGUCCAGGAUGGCCCACCUGCACAGGUGGCAAAAACAAGAGAAGCGAGGAAUCAGCACCUUAUCUUAUCUAUAUAUAUAUAGGAGAGAAUGCUGGCUCUGAGUAAAGAGUCCAGAGGAACCUUGAAAACUGCAUAGAGCUAGGUGAAAAAGCCAAAAAAGAAGACCGCAA
rnacentral:tRNA from 1 species